UUAAUAUCGGUUCGAGGAUAGAGAGAGGUGAGCCGAACCAAUAUCACUCAUGUAUGCUUCUUCAUUCAGCUUCUCUCCAGAAAAAGGGCAAACCUUAUGGUUCUUGCAAGUGGAAUAUAUGCUUGGUUGGAUCUGACCAGAUUCUCCCUCUAAGGUCCCAAUAUUUAACGGCGAUAAAUCAGCAUGACCAUAGCUGACCUGGAAAGGAAUAAUGGACAGCAGGUUUGAAGGGCAAUCAGUUAAAAGCUCCUUAUUUCCACAACCUCCAUAAUCUUGGCGUGUGUUCAUGUUAUCAUUUGAAACUGGACUGGCAGAAGGCUUCCAACCAGUGAGGUUGCUGUUAACAUCCACAGACAAUGGCCUUGAAGGUAGAUUUGUUGCAUUAAGCAUGCCGUUCAAAGCAUGAACAUGAGUUCUAAGAGGUUCUUUUGAGGUAUCAUCACAUAGAAAUGGAUCUUUCAAGAGCUCC